AACUUUCAACAACGGGUCUCUUGGCUCUCGCAUCGAUGAAGAACGCAGCGAAAUGCGAUAAGUAGUGUGAAUUGCAGAACUUUGUGAACCAUCGAAUCUUUGAACGCAAAUUGCGCCUUCUUCCGGAAGGCAUGUCUGUUUGAGGGCACCAUUU
rnacentral:rRNA from 1 species